rnacentral:tRNA from 4 species
GCAUCCGUAACUCAGCUGGAUAGAGUACUCGGCUACGAACCGAGCGGUCGGAGGUUCGAAUCCUCCCGGAUGCACCA